rnacentral:rRNA from 1 species
UACAGAGGGGGCUAGCGUUAUUCGGCAUUAUUGGGCGUAAAGGGCGCGUAGGCGGCCAUGCGUGUCUUCCGUGAAAUCCCUCGGCUUAACUGAGGACGUGCGGAAGAAACUGCAAGACUCGAGUCCGGGAGAGGGGGGUGGAAUUCCCAGUGUAGCGGUGAAAUGCGUAGAUAUUGGGAGGAACACCGGUGGCGAAGGCGGCGACCUGGUCCGAUACUGACGCUGAGGCGCGAAAGCGUGGGGAGCAAACAGG